UUCCUAUUUGCCGCUAGUUGCGGCAAAGUGCCGGCGUUUCGCACAGGGAGCCGCUAACCUGGGCCGGCCCAUGCUGUCUUAGGGGAUCUACAAUUCAUCAUCAACCAGAUCAGAGUUUUCCUAAAAUAUAAAAGGGACUUCCUAUUUGCCGCUAGUUGCGGCAAAGUGCCGGCGUUUCGCACAGGGAGCCGCUAACCUGGGCCGGCCCAUGCUGUCUUAGGGGAUCUACAAUUCAUCAUCAACCAGAUCAGAGUUUUCCUAAAAUAUAAAAGGGACUUCCUAUUUGCCGCUAGUUGCGGCAAAGUGCCGGCGUUUCGCACAGGGAGCCGCUAACCUGGGCCGGCCCAUGCUGUCUUAGGGGUCUACAAUUCAUCAUCAACCAGAUCAGAGUUUUCCUAAAAUAUAAAAGGGACUUCCUAUUUGCCGCUAGUUGCGGCAAAGUGCCGGCGUUUCGCACAGGGAGCCGCUAACCUGGGCCGGCCCAUGCUGUCUUAGGGGAUCUACAAUUCAUCAUCAACCAGAUCAGAGUUUUCCUAAAAUAUAAAAGGGACUUCCUAUUUGCCGCUAGUUGCGGCAAAGUGCCGGCGUUUCGCACAGGGAGCCGCUAACCUGGGCCGGCCCAUGCUGUCUUAGGGGUCUACAAUUCAUCAUCAACCAGAUCAGAGUUUUCCUAAAAUAUAAAAGCUAUGUAACGACUCUACUGUACACAUAACUUUUAAUUUCAAGAAUCCUAGUUGCGUCACUGUUUCAUAAUGGCCAAAUGAUUUAGUUGCUACAAGUUGUCGAAUCUUUAUUUUUUGUUCAAUUGUACAACUUUAUUUUCUUGUCAGACUAUGUCUUGCUUAACCUUUUUUUACCAUUCAUGUUGAUA